AAUCCAUGGUGAGGGCACCUUCUCAAUAAAUCCUUAUACUUCUCCCAUGCAUCAUAUAAGGUCUCUAAAUCCAUUUGUUUGAAGGAAGAGAUAUCAUUCCUCAGCUU
rfam:Gossypium arboreum cultivar AKA8401 contig_35780_1, whole genome shotgun sequence.